AACGUGUCGCGAUGGAUGACUUGGCUUCCUAUUUCGUUGAAG
rnacentral:rRNA from 1 species